UACGUAGGGCGCAAGCGUUGUCCGGAAUUAUUGGGCGUAAAGAGCUCGUAGGCGGCCUGUUGCGUCCGCUGUGAAAUCCCGGGGCUCAACCCCGGGCCUGCAGUGGAUACGGGCUGGCUAGAGGCAGGCAGGGGAGAACGGAAUUCCUGGUGUAGCGGUGAAAUGCGCAGAUAUCAGGAGGAACAUCGGUGGCGAAGGCGGUUCUCUGGGCCUGUACUGACGCUGAGGAGCGAAAGCGUGGGGAGCGAACAGG
rnacentral:rRNA from 1 species